rnacentral:tRNA from 1 species
UCCCUGCUGGUCCAGUGGUGAAGACUCUGGGUUCCCAGUGCAGGAGGCUCAGGUUUGAUCCCUGAUCAGGGAA